CGCUGGUCUUCCAGGUAGGAGGGGCGGAUUUCCUGACUGUUCCUGACUGCACACAUGUGUGAUCACAGGAGCCGCAGUUCAGCUGAGAUGAUGCGGGUUUCAAGGAAGUCCUUUAUCAAGGCUGCAAGGGCCAGACACCCUGAGGCAUGUGGCCCUACUCAUGAAGGUGAGUAGGGCUCUCCUGGGUGCAGGAAGCUGACACUAUU
rnacentral:lncRNA from 1 species